GUGGGGAAUUUUGGACAAUGGGCGCAAGCCUGAUCCAGCAAUGCCGCGUGCAGGAAGAAGGCCUUCGGGUUGUAAACUGCUUUUGUACGGAACGAAACGGUCCUGGCUAAUAUCCGGGGCUAAUGACGGUACCGUAAGAAUAAGCACCGGCUAACUACGUGCCAGCAGCCGCGGUAAUACGUAGGGUGCGAGCGUUAAUCGGAAUUACUGGGCGUAAAGCGUGCGCAGGCGGUGCUGUAAGACAGGCGUGAAAGCCCCGGGCUCAACCUGGGAAUUGCGCUUGUGACUGCAGUGCUGGAGUGCGGCAGAGGGGGAUGGAAUUCCGCGUGUAGCAGUGAAAUGCGUAGAUAUGCGGAGGAACACCGAUGGCGAAGGCAAUCCCCUGGGCCUGUACUGACGCUCAUGCACGAAAGCGUGGGGAGCAAACAGGAUUAGAAACCCCGGUAGUCC
rnacentral:rRNA from 1 species